rnacentral:lncRNA from 1 species
CAAACACUGCCCCUUAGGAGGUGCGUGCCGCUAUUAGGUGGUGAGCCGCAGCCCCUUGGGUGGUAUGUGCCAUCCCUUGGCCGAUGUGCCCUCAGUCUUUGUGCUGAGUUUUUGCAUGUCUCAUCGGCAGUUCAUCAGUCACGUCCGUUAGUCGUCGUGUCGCAUUAGUCAACUUUUCUUCUCUCUCUUCUCACAGAUUCGCACCACUCGCCGAAAAUUCGAUGGCCCAUUUUUUCUAUAAUAGGAGCCCUCUCACCACCAUUUCCUCACACUUCCUCUUUAUUUCACUUUCUUAAGAGUUUUUUAGAGAGAGAGCUAGAGAAAGAAGUGAAGGAAAGAAGAACUUAGAAACUCUUCAAACUUUUUGUAAGGGAAAUCUUGGUAUUUUCUCGUACAUUUUAAGGAGCAUUUCUAGAAAAAUUGAUUUGAAAUGUUGCAUGAUUGAUGUGAAAUAAUAAUUGCAUGUUUUAGUAAAUAUUUAAGUUUUAAAAUUAAAUUGUUAAAUAAUAUGACUAUGAUGGAAUAUAUGUGAUGCAUGAGAUAUCAUGAUUUUUGCAUUAAGAUGCAUGAAUAUUUUAUGAAAAUUGACAUGUAGGCCUAACACCAUAACAUUUAUGCAUUGUAUUUACAAUGAUAUAAUCCGUUAGCUGUUAUCUUUAAGGAGUUCUAUUUCUCCCCCAUCUGAUAUGAAAAAACAUGUGAGGACCACCCCUUGUGGAUGACGGCGUACUCUCUAACGAGAGUGGUUAUGCAAUAUGAUUUGUAAGUCCACUGUGGUAACGUACGAUCGUGGCUAUAGUUUACAUGUNNN